UGGCUCUUGAAAAUACCUUCUCCUUCUAUGAAAGCUCUCUAAUGCGUACUGGGAUAAGUAAGAGAGUUUUUCAAAGCCUCAACAGGAAGAGAUAGCCUCAAGGCUGAUAUUUAGAAAAAGCUUCUAUGGAAAAAGAAUAUGAGGCAUUACUUUUGGUACAGCCUACGUAGAAAAGAACUCUCAGGUCAAGGAAAAUGGAGAGAUUGUCUCUCUGAAGAGGUGGUGGAGUAGCUGUUCAGUAAAUCUGGAAGGUUGGGAGAAGUUCAUGCAAGUCAGAACAGAAAAGAGCUGAUUAUGAAAGUGAAAGAAAAGCUUUCCCAAGCAUUGGAUGCAUUUGAUAUUCAUGCAAACUGAAGCUUUUAAGCAUUAUUUGCAAAAUGAGAGUGGUGCCAUGCCUGUCCAUUCAACACUCCAAGUGACUGUGGCAUUUGCUGGUGAUGGGGGAACUGACAUUCAAGUUUCCUGAGGGCAGAACUUCAACUUAGGCUGCCCGUAGGCCGUGAGCUCCUAAAUCCAGGGUUUGCAUUGGGCAGAGGAAGUCUGGGCCUCUCACAUAGGAGGUAAGAGAAAGGAAGUAGUCAAAGCCAGCUCUGAUCUCUCACUGCUGUGAAUGGUGUUUGAGGUCUAGCUCUUAAUUGCUG
ensembl:lncRNA